UACGUAGGGUGCAAGCGUUAAUCGGAAUUACUGGGCGUAAAGCGUGCGCAGGCGGUGAUGUCAAGACAGUGUGAAAUCCCCGGGCUCAACCUGGGAACUGCAUUCGUGUGACUGCAUGCUGGAGUGCGGCAGAGGGGGAUGGAAUUCCGCGUGUAGCAGUGAAAUGCGUAGAUAUGCGGAGGAACACCGAUGGCGAAGGCAAUCCCCUGGGCCUGCACUGACGCUCAUGCACGAAAGCGUGGGGAGCAAACAGGAUUGAGAACUACCGUGGUCAGAUCCCAAGACCAGUCUACGUGACCUGACCGAUUAACACUCGACCGUA
rnacentral:rRNA from 1 species